UACGUAGGUGGCAAGCGUUGUCCGGAUUUACUGGGCGUAAAGAGCGCGCAGGCGGUUUUGCAAGUCGCGUGUGAAAGCCCCCGGCUCAACUGGGGAGGGUCACGCGAUACUGUUCGACUUGAAGGCAGGAGAGGGAAGUGGAAUUCCCGGUGUAGUGGUGAAAUGCGUAGAUAUCGGGAGGAACACCAGUGGCGAAGGCGACUACCUGGCCUGUUCUUGACGCUGAGGCGCGAAAGCUAGGGGAGCAAACGGG
rnacentral:rRNA from 1 species